CUCAGGCUUUGGAAGAGUGAGAUGUGGCAACUGUAGCCCUGUCAUCCUCCAUACUCACAUCAGGGCUUCAAUAGAAUCAUUCCCUUCCAUCCUGUGCAACUGAGUCCACAGCAGAUUUUGAAUCUGUUACCUGGGGGACAUCGAGUGAGGAAUUUGCCUUGUCACCAGCCAUAGGAAUCUGGCUAUGAGGUAUAUUGAAUGUUGGUUACUCAUUGACCAGCCGGGGUUGAGAGCUGGGUACAUGUCUGCCUAUGUGUGUACAUGAGCAGUGGCAUAGUAUGGGGGGUGCAGGGGGGCCCGGUCGCACCAGGCGCAACAUCUGGGGGGGCGCUCGCACUCGCAGCUCUCUGCCCCUACCGGGUUAGGGGGCACAAAUUACUUGCCUUGCCCCGGGUGCUGACAACCCACGCUACGCCACUGUACAUGAGUGUAUAUGAGAGAGUGUGGGGUCAGCACACCCAUUGUUGAACCUAAGACUAAAAGAGGACAUGUCUCAUGGUGCGGGGGGGGGAGGAUUUUAUUUUUAAAACAGCCCAAUGUGUUUUGACCAGUGCAUAUUUAAAGGCUUUCUUCAGGGAGUUGCAAAACAGCUAGCAGAGAUCUCUUUUGGAUACAUUUCCCAUUAACUGGGUCGCCAGUUAAUGUUAAUGCAGUUAACGUGUAAUGCAAUGAAUAAAGGACCAAUUUGAUAUGAUCCACUCUUCCACAUCUGUAAUUUCUCCGUUCAGUUUGAACCACACUAAUUUUAAUAGAAAAUUUUGAGUCAGAAAAUUGAGAUAAUGGUAAGUGUGCUUAAUGUGCUUUUAACAGAUUCAGUCGUGUUCAGUAUCUCUGAAGCGGUAUUCGAUACAGGAAAAAUAAAUCAGAAUGUAGUAUCUGCUGCAAAGCUUUCUUUUUCUCAAAAUAAUUGACAAUGUCUGGAAUUUAUGAGAUGCCAUCGUAGAGUUAGAAGGAACCACAAAGAUCAUCUAAGUCCAAUUCCCUUCAGGUCCUCAUAGCUUCCUGUCCAGCUCCACACAUCACAGCUUCACCAAUAGUCCAUGUUCUUUAUAAAUUGAUAUAGCAAAUGUUGAAAUUAGUUUAUGUAUGUUUGAGGCAGCCAGCAUGGUGUAUUCCACAUACUACAAUGGACUACAACGCCGUUCUUUCCUGACCAUGUUGACUGGGAGUUGAUUUUAAGCUACCUUCAAUCAUAGAAUCAAAGAGUUGGAAGGGACCUGCAGGUCAUUGAGUCCACCCCCCCUGCAGUGCAGGAAUAUGCAGCUAUCCCAUAUGGGGAUCAAACCUGCAACCUUGGUGUUGUCAGCACCAUGCUCUAGCCCAGGGGUAGGCAACCUAAGGCCUGGGGGCCGGAUGCGGGCCAAUCGCCUUCUCAAUCUGGCCUACGGACGGUCUGGGAAUCAGUGUGUUUCUACAUGAGUUGAAUGUGUGCUUUUAUUUAAAAUGCAUCUCUGGGUUAUUUGUGGGGCAUAGGAAUUCGUUCUUUUUUUUCUUCAAAAUAUAGGCUGGCCCACCACAUGGUCUGAAGGACGGUGGACCAGCCCACGGCUGAAAAAGGUUGCUGACCCCUGCUCUAGCCAGCUGAGCUAUCCAGCAAGAUGGUUUCCUUUACUUACCCCUGCCUUCUCAUAACACAAAGGCUGCAUCCUUUUGUUUCUGGCCUCCUUCUAGUUUGGAAUUUUUACAUUUGUAAAACACACCUUCUCCUAAGGACUUGGUGCAGCACAUAUAUCCCAUUUGAUCACGAGCUCCAGACAUGCCUAGAGCACUCAACUGCAUGGCAGUGUCCAUGCAGUUUUGUUCCCUGUUUGUCUUCCUCCUUAUCUUGCUCCAUAAUCUGAUGAGCCCCAGGAUAGGAAGACUGCCUGUGAGGUUUAUAAUCUUAUACGUUAAACAGAAUUGCAUUACUUUUGUAGUUUAAAAAAUGCAAGGUUUUGGGAGCAAUAGCUGAAUUCUCUUUGUGUGUGCGCGCACACACACACACACACACACACACACACGGGCACUCUCCUAACCUGAUUUUAUCAAAAUGCUCACUUUACAUCCCUGUAAAGCUAAGACACAGUGUUUCAUUGCGAGAGACAUUUGCAGCCAACACAGUUCAGCAGGCAAUUUAUUCGAUUUCAUAUUUCUUUUAGCUGGACUAUCCCAUUUCUGAUGUGUGUAUUGCAGUUCAACCUCUUAGAAAAAUACACCUACUGUAUCUUCAUUUAUUCGUAUAGCCUGUCAUCAGGGCAUAAAUACAAAGUUCACUCAGGAGACACACAAGAACAGAAGGAAGCCGAAAGGGUAACCUUUGUGAGAUGAAUUUAUUUUUUUAAAAUGGAUGGGGAAUUGGGGAGGGAGGAAUAGUAAAGUAGGAUGAUUCACUCUCUAGCAUUCACAUUAAGAUUUAUUCAAUUACCGCAGCAGCGUAACAGAGCCAGGAUAGCUUGUGAAUGCUGGGUGGGUCAGUAUGACCCUCAAUUCUAAAAUCAAGACUAUACUCUUAUGAGAGAAUUAUCAGAAAGAAAUUGGUGCCCUGAAAGAGAAACCCAAUGUCUUUAUAAUAUCUGCACAUUUCUUUAACAAUGAGGACAUCACAUAUCUUGCGAUAAAUUCAAAGCCUUGAAGAAUAUGCUAGGAAUAGACUUUGGACUUUCAAAUUUCAGUGGUGCCCUGCGUGGACCCAAAAUUCAGGGGGACCUCACCUCUCACCUUCUCUUCUGCUCAUGCAGUACACCAUAGUUGUGACACUCUGUGACGCCCCCUAGACUCAGCACCCAGUGUGGCAGAACCAGUCACGCUGCCCUAAAUUCACCUCUGAAUACACUCUAUUUGAGAUCUCGUCUGUGAAAUUAGGCACGAACUAUACCUGUUUCCAAAUCUACUUCAGUAGCUUGUCUUAGCCUCACAGACAUUGUAAGCAAUAUGUAAAGGGGUAGUUCUAGAAGAGUAGCAUGCUAGUGCUCUUCUCAUUUUCCCAUUCAUGUUUCCAAUCAAAAUUUGCAGGUGAGUGGGAUCACAGAUGCCAGCCCCAUUUCAUUGUUGUUGUUUAGUUGUUUAGUCGUGUCUGACUCUUCGUGACCCCAUGGACCAGAGCAUGCCAGGCACUCCUGUCUUCCACUGCCUCCUGCAGUUUGGUCAAACUCAUGCUGGUGGCUUCGAGAACACUGUCCCACCAUCUCGUCUGUCGUCCCCUUCUCCUUGUGCCCUCAGUCUUUCCCAACAUCAGGGUCUUUUCCAGGGAGUCUUCUCUUCUCAUGAGGUGGCCAAAGUAUUGGAGCCUCAACUUCACAAUCUGUCCUUCCAGUGAGCACUCAGGGCUGAUUUCCUUAAGAAUGGAUAGGUUUGAUCUUCUUGCAGUCCAUGGGACUCUCAAGAGUCUCCUCCAGCACCAUAAUUUAAAAGCAUCAAUUCUUCGGCAAUCAGCCUUCUUUAUGGUCCAGGUCUCACUUCCAUACAUCACUACUGGGAAAACUAUAGCUUUAACUAUAUGGACCUUUGAUGGCAAGGUGAUGUCUCUGCUUUUCAAGAUGCUGUCUAGGUUUGUCACUGCUUUUCUCCCAAGAAGCAGGCAUCUUUGCAUUACCAUUUCAUUACCUCUAUGCAUUAGGCAGAAUGUUAAUUGCAGGCGCUGCACAUAUAUGCAUACGGCUUUGCAUACUUCUGGAAUCAUAACUGUGCUUAGCUUCUCAUUUAUAUAUGUAGGCCCUAUACAGGUUUUCAACCUUUCUGAACCCAGGACUCCCUUGACCAACCACAUUCUUUCUGAAACUCCCCUGUGGAAGCCACUUACACUGGGGUUCCAUUACAGGAUGCGCAUAAGUGGGGAUUUCCCUGUUCAGCGCCAUUUUUGGCUCAUGUUUAAGUGGGAAUGCAUGUGUCCUCUGAAUGUUCCUCAGAGAGAAAACGCUCAUGCAGGGAGAUAUGGGCUGCAAGUUAAUGAAAUAACAGCCCCUGGGGCUCCCCUGAACGUUCCUCAAGUCUCCCCAGAGAGCCACAGCACACUGGCCGAAAACCAAUGCUAUGCACACAAGGGUGUGGGUGUGUGCAUGUGUGUUAUGCUCCGCUCAAAGGCAGAAGCCUGAGGCAGUGCCAGCAGACAAGGGAGAUUGGAGGCAGGGCCAGAUGGUACUAUCCCACUUCCCUCCAUGAUUUACUGAACAUGUAGAGGGGGAUGUGAGAAGAGGCCACAAUGCAAAAGUAUAAUCAUUUUCACCUUGUGGAAAUUGAAAAUGUUAUUUGCUAUAUUGAGGGGGCUGUAUGCUACAGUCACAGAAUAUACAGCCUUCAAAAUUACAUUUUGAGACAGGAAAGUUCUGUGAAUCAAUGGGGCAUUUCUGCUGCUUGUCACACACCCCUUUUAAAGGAGGAGGAGUAUUUCCUCAGAGGGUGGUGUAACAAGAGAGCUUACAACCUCAUAAGAGGCUGGAAAUCAUGCCUAGAAAAUACCAAGUUAGGUCCAUCUGAACCUUUUCCUCCAAUGACCUACCAUGGAGGGGGAAGGGAACUGGGUGGACUCCUUGGGACAGAAAUGAAGCAAGGAGAAAAGAAAUAAAUAUGGAUGUUUUGACAUUUCAAUUAAGGCCAAAUGAGUCUAGCAAUUCUGUACCAGCUUUUGUGUGUGUGAGGUUUGUUUUUGUUUUUCAUGGCACUAAUGAUAGCUUCUGGUAGGAGGGUGAUUUAGAUCAGGGCAAGAGCAAGGAAAGAAAGGAUUUAAAGCACCACUUCUGUGUCCUUCAAAGCAGUGACACGUGAGAUCCUAAUCAUGUGUCUACUUUGACCUUAAAUCUUCAUUAGAUUUGGAGUUUAUUAGGUUCCGGUCUAAAUAAUCAAAAAACUAUCUGGAAAGUUAAUCUAGCAAUGAUGAGGAAAUGGGUCAUGAAAAGGACAUCAAAGGUCAUUUAGUCAACUCCCCUAUGCCAAUGCAGGAAAGCCAUUACUGGACUUUUCCUGAUAAAUGACCACCCAGGGUCCACUUAAACACCCUCCGUGAAGGAGAAUCCACUAUCUACUAAGGAAGUCUGUUCCAUUAUCAAAUAAUUUGUACCAUCAGGAAGUUAUUCCUAACAUAAAUUCGGAAUCCCAAAUGUGGGAAACUGCUGGCCUGGCAGUUGAAGAAACGACAAAAACUUAAUACUAUCACUAAUUUAGAAGUGGAAGGGAAAAAUAUCCAGAAUCCAGAAGAAAUUAGGAAAUGCUUCCAGAGAUAUUUUAAACAAUUAUACACACAAGGGCCUCAGAAAGAAUUUGAGAUAGAGCAAUUUUUGAAAACCAAUGGAUUACAAAAAAUUUCUCAGGAUAACAAGAUAUUGUUGAACUAUAAAAUUACAGAACAGGAGGUUGAAGGUGCCAUUCAGAAUAUGCAGUUGGGAAAAUCUCCAGGACCGGAUGGUUUAACCUCAAAAUAUUACAGAACUUUGAAAGACUGGUUAAUUCGACCUUUAACUGAGGUUUGUAAUGAAAUUUUAGAGGGGAAAAGAGCGCCAGAGUCGUGGAAAGACGCAUUUAUUACACUUAUACCAAAGGCUGAGACUGAAAAGACACAGCUUAAGAACUACAGGCCCAUAUCCCUGUUAAAUGUGGAUUACAAAAUUUUCGCUGACAUUUUAGCAAAAAGGCUUAAAAAAGUGCUAAAAGGAGUGAUUCACAAGGACCAAGCUGGCUUUCUUCCAGAUAGACAUCUUUCGGACAACACAAGGAACAUAAUUGAUAUUCUGGAGAAGCUGCAAGAGGAGAUCAAUACUAAAGCAGUUUUGAUUUUUAUGGAUGCAGAGAAAGCCUUUGACAAUAUUUCUUGGAGUUUUAUGAAAAAAAAUCUUCAGGGGAUGGGGGUAGGCCAAGAGUUUGAAAAUGGUAUAAAUGCAAUUUAUUCAGAACAAAAAGCUAAAGUAAUAGUUAAUAAUGUGAUAACAGAGGAAAUUAAGAUAGAGAAAGGGACACGACAAGGCUGCCCAAUUUCCCCAUUACUUUUUAUUUCUGUUCUGGAGGUUUUGUUAAAUAUGAUAAGAAGGGACCAUCUGAUUAAGGGCAUAACGGUCGGAGCGAAACAAUAUAAACUGAAAGCUUUUGCAGAUGACCUUGUACUGACAUUACAGGAGCCAGAAUCUAGUACGAAAAGAGCAUUAGAACUGAUUCAAGAGUUUGGUCAGGUGGCAGGUUUUAAGCUGAAUAAGUUUAAAACUAAAGUACUUGAGAAGAAUUUAACACCGAUUGAAAAAGAGAGGUUUCAGAAUGAGACAGGUUUAACAGUGGUAAAAAAAGUGAAAUAUCUGGGGAUUCACAUGACAGCUAAAAAUGGGAAUUUAUUUAAAGACAAUUAUGAAAAAUGCUGGUCGGACAUUAAAAAGGAUUUAGAAAUAUGGACAAAUUUGAAGCUUUCCUUGUUAGGGCGAAUUGCUGUCAUCAAGAUGAAUGUAUUGCCAAGAAUGUUGUUUUUGUUUCAAUCAAUACAAAUAAUAGACAAAAUGGACUGUUUUAAGAAGUGGCAGAGAGAUAUUUCUAAGUUUGUCUGGCAGGGCAAGAGGCCCAGGAUAAAAUUUAAAAUAUUGACUGAUGCUAAAGAAAGAGGGGAUUUGCCCUGCCAGACUUUAAACUUUAUUAUGAAUCAGCAGCUUUCUGCUGGUUGAAGGAUUGGUUACUUCUGGAAAAUACUGAUGUUUUGGACUUAGAAGGUUUCAAUAAUGUGUUUGGGUGGCAUGCAUAUUUGUGGUAUGACAAGGUUAAAGCUCACAAAAUAUUUAAAAAUCAUAUUGUCAGGAAAGCAUUGUUCAAUGUAUGGAUAAGAUAUAAAGACUUAUUGGAGAAUAAAACCCCAAGGUGGCUAUCACCAAUGGAGGCAAAGGCCCUAAAAAAGUCCAAUAUGGAGGCCAAGUGGCCAAAAUAUUGGGAGAUCUUGGAACAAGGAGACAAAUUCAAAUUGCAGAGUUUUGAAAAAUUAAAAGAUAGAGUGCGAGACUGGUUGCAUUAUUACCAAAUAAGAGAGGUCUAUAAUUUGGAUAGAAAAAUUGGCUUCCAGGUGGAAAAAUCAAAGUUGGAAACAGAACUGCUAGAUUCCAAAACUAAAACACUUUCAAGAAUGUAUAACUUGCUGCUAAAAUGGAAUACUCAGGAUGAAACGGUAAAAUCUGCUAUGAUUAAAUGGGCACAGGAUGUUGGACAUAACAUUAUGUUUGCUGACUGGGAACGGUUAUGGACCACAGGUACGAAGUUUACAGCAUGUAAUGCUUUAAAAGAGAAUAUAAUGAAAAUGGUGUACAGGUGGUACAUGACCCCAGUCAAGCUUGCAAAAAUCUACCAUUUGCCCGAUAAUAAAUGUUGGAAAUGUAAGGAAACUGAAGGUACAUUCUUUCACCUUUGGUGGACGUGCCCAAAGAUUAAGGCCUUCUGGGAAAGAAUAUAUAAUGAGUUAAAAAAAGGUAUUUAAGUAUACCUUUCUAAAGAAACCAGAGGCCUUUCUCUUGGGCAUUGUUGGCCAAUUGGUGCUAAAGAAAGACAGAACUUUCUUUAUGUAUGCAACAGCAGCAGCAAGGAUACUCAUCGCAAAGUAUUGGAAGACACAAGAUUUACCCACUCUGGAAGAAUGGCAGAUGAAGGUAAUCGAAUAUAUGGAACUGGCGGAGAUGACUGGCAGAAUCCGUGACCAGGGAGAAGAGUCGGUGGAAGAAGAUUGGAAGAAAUUUAAAGUCUAUCUACAGAAAUACUAUAAAAUUAAUGAAUGUUAAAUUGAGGUCUGAUUGAAAAUAACUGGUAUUGGCAAAAGCCUUGUGAUUAAGAGCAUGGAAUAUUUGAUUGAUAAGGUUGUAAAAAUAUUUAUAUAUAAAUAGAUUAAGUUUUUUGAGUUAAGAUAAAGAAAGGAGGGUAAGGAUUUGCUGAAAGGAGUUCUUAAAUGGAAAUACAAGCGGGGAGAUGCGGGGAAGUCAAAGAACUAGGUAAGAUAAGAAGGUUAAAUGAAAGUAUAAUAUCUUUUAAAUUUUUCUGUUUCUUUUUCUUUUUUUCUUUUUUCUUUCAUUGUUAUGGAUACUGUUAUUUCUGUUUGCUUUUUGUUAUUGUUAUUGUUGUUUUUUGUUUGUUGAAUUUUUGUAUUUUUGCAUUUUUUGGAAUUUUUCUUGUAAAACCAAUAAAUAUUUUAUAAAAAAAAAAAAAAAAUAAAUUCGGAAUCCCCUCUGUUGCAGCAAACUCACUGGUUUGGUUCCUAUCCUCUGGAUCAACAUAAAUUUGCUCCAGACCUGAAAAUGGCCAUCAUAUUACCUUUUAAUCAUCUUUUGUCCAGGGCGAGCACAGCCAGCUCCGUUAGUCCUUCCUAAUAGGAGCUGAGCUUAUGUCACUUGCCAUCAUUGUUACCUUCAUUUGGGUACAGUCCCCCAGGUGAAGCCUGACCAAAGCAGAAGGGGGUGGUCCAAAAUUGCUUCUUAUGUGCCAGACAAUAUGCUGUUGGAUGCAGCCUAGGAUUUUAGCUGCAGCACUACAUGGCUGACUCAUAGUUAAUUUUUGAUAUGCUAAGACCACGGCUUUCUGAAGAGCUGCAAAUCAACAGAGACAUGCAGUCAUUCCUUUAUUCACACCUUGAGCUGAUGCACAAAACCAAAACAACCACAUAAGACCCGCCUUGUGUUAGAAGACACAAUCUGAAGGUUGAAUAGAAUGCUGGAUGAGACAAGUCUGAUAGGACUUAUUCUUUCAUAAGGCAAUAGGAGUACCCAAAACUAUUUUACCAGGGAAGAAACCAAACAUGUUGCUAAAGAGGUCAUUAGAACUGAUAAGGACCAACCUCUAAUUUCACAUCAAUACAGUGGAGAAAGGUGGGAGGGACGCUCACUUUUAAUGCUUUAGCUCAGAAUAAUUUCAGCCUUAAAGGUUAAGAUUCAAUACACCAUACAACGAGUUCCAUGUAUUCAAUGUGUGUGUGUGUGUGUGUGUGUGUGUGUGUGUGUGUGUGUGAUUUCUUAAAAAGCUGACUCCUGUGCAAUAUACCAAACCACGUUUGGAACUUGUGAGAGGGUUGCCGUUUAUGACAGGGAAAGAUGCUUACUGUUCAAAAAAAGGGGGGGGAUAUUCCAAUGGACAUAUUGAAGCCCCUCAGCACGCUUUGGCUCAUGGCCAAGCUUAACUGAAUGGGGGGGGGGGGAUGGUGGAAUCUAUGAAACAGCACCAUAAGUGUCUUUCCUGCAAACAGAGUAAGGUGUACCCAAAAAUAAAGGAUCUUACACUCCCUUUUGUAAAAGUAGCGUAACAGUAUCUUUGGAGCAAACUGCACAGUUGAACUUGCUUGCAUAUUUGUUGAAAAGUGGUGCUGUCUCACUCUCAGACUCUUAACAGUCAGUCUCAAGAGGAUAUCUCAGUGGUUAAAGAACAAUGCUCAUGCUUUGACAGAUAGGAAGAAGCUUUAGAAAACUUCACUUAAGCAUUCCCAAAUCAGGGAGGCAUAUAUCUAGAAAAAGAGGUGCUGGAACUCACCAUGCAUGCCUCCCUUGUUCUCUUAGAAUGGCAAUAGCACCCACCUGAGAGGUGCCAGAACUGAGUUCCAGCUGAAUAUAUGUUUGUCUGGCUGAAUAUGUUUAUACACACUAUAAACAUGAUAAUUUCGCACCCUGCUUUAACUAAGCCAAGGGAUCUCAAAUGAAGCUCUCCCCAUCCCCCACCCCUGCAGAACAUGGCAUCUGCAUCCCCAUUGUAAGAUUCUAUACAAGACUUCAGACAACCAGCUUGGAAGACAGAGGAGUGAUUGAUUAUAUGCAUAAUAAGCCCCGACAUCUGUAUGCCUAGAUUGAAGGGACUUUGCACAAAGCAGCCCAGCUUCUUGUUCAAAAGACAAAACCCAUCAAAUGCAUAAGAAAACAUCUCUGAUCAGCUCAGUACAUUUGCAAAACGGGCUCUUUGAUUUGUCCGCCUCUAGGCCAGAGACCAUUCAUUCCAACACAAGAGAUAUCGCACACAGAGGUGGCCUUUGCUGCAUCAGGAAAUGUGGGCACAGGCUAGAUGCCCUGGGUACCUCUGUUGCCCUGAAUCUUUGGACAUGAGUUAUUGAAUGUGGGCCCUGUUUGCACUGCAUGGUGUGAACCACCAAUCACUGUGUCAGGCUACACAAACAUUGUUGGGCACGGCUAUAUCUGGAUGGGUGCCAGAGUGUUUUGAAAUAAAAGUGAACAGCAGCAGAACAAAGGAGUACACCUUUACAUAUCAAAGGUGUUUUGUGUUUUUGAAAGGGAUAGCCAUUCAUUAUUCUCAACAACAUCCUGGUGCACUCCCAAACCUCUUGCUUUUGCUAAUGGGACUGGUGAAUGAGCAAUGAGAGGACUCUGAAUUUGUGUUAUAGCAACCCAUUGUCACAGCAACCAGCAAAUAGAGUUCUGCCAUCUUCCAGCUCCCUUUGCUAUAAAGGGUUUGGUAUGGAUCUCAGCGAAAACUUAAUUUGGAUUUGAAGCUUACCAUUUAAAAUAGGUACAUUGGCUGGGAAGGUUACAAGACCCCCUUCCCAAAGCCAUAUUAACAUUUGAAAUAAUAAAAAAGAUCAUUUGGAAUGAAUUAGUUCUUUCCAUAAAUAUGUUUGUGAUACCGCUUUGUGAUAGUUACCUGUUUGAGAGGGGGCUCCCAUGCCUUUUAUUUGUAAUAUUUGCUAACCUAACAUCUACUCUGACAGCUGAAAAACAAAAGCUUUCAUUCUUAUUACAGCUAUUCUCUUUGGCAGAUAUUUCUCCCUCCCUGACCUCUCCAAAUACACAUUGGGCUUGAAAUGAAUGGUUUUGUUUGAUUCCUUUCCUCCAGAGCAAUGCAGCAGUAUUUGAUUGUUUUUUAAGGGAUCAAGCUGCUUUUUCUAUUGAGUAGCACUAUCUAAACUUAUGGCUUCAAAGGAAAUAGUUUUUUUUUAAAAAAAAUGGCACUAAGUCCCUGUGCUGUUUCACUCCCAUUGGCAAGAUGAGAUACAUUAUAACAUCACAACUGCACAAUGCACAUUUGCAUUUCAAGUUCCACUAGCUGUUGGCUCUACCUCCAAUCUAAAAAGUACUCCGGCAAGCCAGAAAAUAUGCUACAGUUCAAGAUUUUGGAUAGAUCCUUAAAAAAAUUAAAAGUCCAGCCCAAUCAACACUGUUGAUCUUUAUUUGGUGGUCAUCUCAGCCAUAUAUGCAUCCUUCAUACGUCAGACAUAACAAAUCACUAAUAUUGUGAAUAUAUGAAUGAAAUUUCUGAGCUAGAUCAACUGUAAAGUUUCUCAUCUUCUCAUGCCACGCCAUGCAUCCCCCACAAUAUUUCUCUCUCAACUCUGACUGAACACCACCCUGCCAUUCUAGUGCUUUGGCCUCAGGGCUGUUCAUGUAUAUAUGGUUUACCGCUCCGUGACUGUACCAUCAAGUGAUGACUGGCAGAGCUGUAUUUGUGAACUUUCGUAUCAGUUCAUGACAUCUGAAAUGCAGUGUUUUUCAAUGUAAUGAGUCCACCUAUUUAAUUACUUGUCAUCAGGUGCAGAUAAAUCUAGAUAUACAUAAAUGUGAGUACUGGCCUCGGAGAAAACCAUUUAUAAGCAAAGCUUCCCAUUUACUGCCACCAGAAAAAGCCAUAACAUUAAAAUUACUAUUGUUGAUGAGAUUCAAUAUAAACCUCAAAUAUCUACAGUUUUUUUAUUUAUUUAUAGUGACUAUUAAAAGUAGACUGUAAACAGAAACUAGUGAGGUAGUGAAAUAUUACUUCUGGACCCCAAAAUUUAAAUGUACUUAUCAUAUUUAUAUUCCAGCUUUCUUCAACAACAAAUAAUGAGGUCUGUUAAUUUACUUGCAUAGACCACUGGAGACUAUAGUGAUUUAAAAGAAGCCUAGAAUUGACUUCACAUUUUGACUAAAGCAAAAUUUGAGGACAUUUUGAAGUGUCUUCUUCAAAUAAAUCAUCCAAAGGAAUUCUGAGGUAAGUUCACAGAAGCCCAAUAAUAUUAGAAAAGCUUGCUGGGGACAGACAGUAUGGAAUCUGUAUACCUCUAAGUUGUCAUGGAAUUCCAUCCUGAGUAAAAACUGAGGCAAAUGAGGAGCGUCCUUCAUAAGUGAAACAUCUACACAAAUUUUGAAUAGGCCCCGACAGAAUUUCAGUACAGCCUGCAAAAAUUCACAGGUUCACACAUCUGUUCCAAUAACAGUAUCUUCUCUUAAUAGGCUACCUCUCAGGGCUAAACUAGCCAUGUUUUGGGAGAUCCAAUCAACAGGAUUCUUCCAUUUUAAUAGAAAAAGAUAAAUUUUUAAAAAAUGGCAGGAGUGUGUCUAUAAUUCAGAUCAGGGCCACAGUGCUGUGGGAAAGAGGAGCCGAGUCCCUCCCCCCAUCCUUUACCCCUACUGUAAUUUGCCUCCAUCCAAGCUUCUAUUUGCUCCACAAACAUCUUUUCCCCAGCCAUAUUUUCCGAUUUUCAAUGCUUCCCCUUAGUUGCUUUUAUCUUUAGAGAAUAAUCUUGGCUUUUAGACUUGAAGGUGGUCUUCUCAUCUGCAUUUUCCUAAACAGUGAUGGGAUUGCUCAGACAAGGGGAGCAAGAACUAUCUAGGAAUCGAUUCACGCUGUACGUCACAAGCAUAUCUGCUACAUGUAUAUUAGUACUCGUGCUGACAGAUAAAUAAACUGUGAAGGGGAAGUACAUGCUUGCAAACAUCUUGUGGGUAUGCACUGAUUAGGCACAGCACCUAAACACAGUCACUACCUGUUCAUCGCAGGUGUGCCUCCCCUCAAUGUGAGGGGUUGUCCACACCAAGUGCUACUGUGAACAUAGCUAACACACUCACUGCAUAAAGUGUGUGUGUCAACCCUAAAAUUGCAAAGUUACUCAGCUUUAGAGACAGCCACCUUGAAGAAGUAAAGGGAAUCCCAAGGAAAAGCUUGCUUGAGGCUUGUGGAUUGAGCAAAAUCCGAACAUUUACAUACUUGUCUCUGGCUAAUGUUCUUUGAAUUCUCUUGACAGCAGG